rnacentral:rRNA from 1 species
AGUGAACGCUGGCGGUAGGCCUAACACAUGCAAGUCGAACGGCAGCACAGUAAGAGCUUGCUCUUACGGGUGGCGAGUGGCGGACGGGUGAGGAAUACAUCGGAAUCUACUUUUUCGUGGGGGAUAACGUAGGGAAACUUACGCUAAUACCGCAUACGACCUACGGGUGAAAGCAGGGGAUCUUCGGACCUUGCGCGAUUGAAUGAGCCGAUAUCGGAUUAGCUAGUUGGCGGGGUAAAGGCCCACCAAGGCGACGAUCCGUAGCUGGUCUGAGAGGAUGAUCAGCCACACUGGAACUGAGACACGGUCCAGACUCCUACGGGAGGCAGCAGUGGGGAAUAUUGGACAAUGGGCGCAAGCCUGAUCCAGCCAUACCGCGUGGGUGAAGAAGGCCUUCGGGUUGUAAAGCCCUUUUAUUGGGAAAGAAAAGCAGCAGGUUAAUACCCCGCUGUUCUGACGGUACCCAAAGAAUAAGCACCGGCUAACUUCGUG